ACGGAAGGCAGCAGUGGGGAAUAUUGGGCAAUGGGGGAAACCCUGACCCAGCAACGCCGCGUGAAGGAAGAAGGCCUUCGGGUUGUAAACUUCUUUUACCAGGGACGAUAAUGACGGUACCUGGAGAAAAAGCAACGGCUAACUACGUGCCAGCAGCCGCGGUAAUACGUAGGUUGCAAGCGUUGUCCGGAUUUACUGGGUGUAAAGGGAGCGUAGACGGUCUAGCAAGUCUGAUGUGAAAGGCAGGGGCUCAACUCCUGGACUGCAUUGGAAACUGUUAGUCUUGAGUGUCGGAGAGGUAAGCGGAAUUCCUAGUGUAGCGGUGAAAUGCGUAGAUAUUAGGAGGAACACCAGUGGCGAAGGCGGCUUACUGGACGAUAACUGACGUUGAGGCUCGAAAGCGUGGGGAGCAAACAGGAUUAGAUACCCUGGUA
rnacentral:rRNA from 1 species